rnacentral:lncRNA from 1 species
UUGUAUGCCGGAAGGGAUAAAUCUGGGGCUGAGUACAAGCAAAACAAGACCAAAGGAAGCUACCUGAGCAGGUAUUCCAGAUACUCAUGUCAUACACCAAGGUUGUACCAGUGCCCCUUUCUCUGUGACACAUCCAUCCACUGGAAACUUUCGUACAACUAGCUGAAAGAAGAGAAACAUCCUAUUUCAUGUCACUGGAGCCCUAAUGAUCGCAGCCAUUUCAGGAAAUGCCAUCAAUUACAGUGAGGAGCUCAUUCAGAAGUGAAAGAUGAGUUCCAUUCUCUGUUACUUAGAGAAAAUGCCUUUGGAGAGCCCAGCUGUAGUGGCAGCAGCAGUACUGUAACCAUGAAACUCUGAAAAAGUUUCUUCUAUAUAGUAAAGAAAAAUACAUCAAGGCUCCACUUUUGUCAAGAACACAAUUAUUUCUGGAAAGAGUAUUACACUCAGUAUUCUGCAUUUCAUAUGGCAUUUCAAAGUCCUGAGAAUGACUCUCCGUAGUCUUCUAUGUACUAAUUAAACAUGAACAUGUGGUAAACAACAUGGACUAUUCCAGUGGACAGAAAGCGUCAAGUUAAAAUGUUUAAGUGCCCCAUAUUUUUCUAAGUAUUCUUAUCCAGUUGGUCUGACUGGUCAUUAUCUGUUUUGUAAAACUUCCCAAACAACUCAUCAAUAUUUAAAUAGCUAUCCAAAUUAUAAACUUCAAAUAGCAGAAUCCAAAUGUCAUUUAUGCAUAAUUCAAAAGAACUUUGCUGAAAACAAUCUUUGGAUUACAAUUGCUCUCUAAUCCACCUCUUGAAUUUCUACAUAAGAAUUCAAUGCCAAUGCAAUUCAAAUCAAUUCAUUCAUGGUUGAUGUUAAAACUUCCUUUAAGAGGAUAGUAUGGCAGAAACAAAACUGAAUUUGAACAAGAGGGAAACUGCAGAAGAUAAACAUUUUUUCUGUAGAAAGUUUCCAACUUUUACAUUUUUGUGGUAAUUUUUAACAUUAUAGGUAUAAUUAAAUUAUCACUAAAGUUAUAUCUAUUAAUCCUAAGUGGUUUAAAAUAAUUUCUCUGUUCAAACUGAUGCAGCUCGCUAUUACAAUUUAAUAUAAUUUUUUCAAACUAUAAUUGAUUUCUAAGACUAGUAAAAUUUUUGAGCUACCAUUAACCCCAAAAUAUCUGGAAAAAGAAAAUCAUCAUAGGUAACUCCUGAUGACUCCUACCUCUUUCAGUCACAUACUUAGCAUUAUCUGCUGUACAGGUUUAAAGAAUGUUGGUCACAGGAUUGAAGUGAAUAUUUCAUUUAUGUGUAGCCAAAAUAUUAUCAUAUGAAGCCCAAAAGAAGAGUAAAAUACAUCCUUGUGAUAUUAUUAACAUGACUUUGUGCCAGACAAAGCAUAGUUACUCUACAGAUGGAUUAUGAAUAGAGAAAAAGUGUGUAGUUGAAUUCUUUGGAAUUAUGGACUAUAUUCCAUAAAUCCCAGAUGGAGUCACUAUGAUUAAUGUUACCUCAAUGAAUACAAAAUGAAUAAAUAAUUAUCCUCCACUUACUGUAAAG